CCCUCUGUAAGGGUGCGGACCCGAUUAUGUGGGUCCGCCCCCGGAGCCGGAUGGAUCCAGAAGGAUUCCUGAAGGCCCUGGGGGAGUUUCCGGCUGACAAGACGGGUGCUCCUGUCGAGGCUCUGGUCGAACUGUGGAAUGGGGAGAUGACCAGGGCUGUAGACACGAUCGCUCCUAAGCGUCCUCUCCCACCGGGCAGAGCCCGCUCUUCCCCUUGGUAUACUCCUGAAUUGAGGGCGAUGAAGCAGGUUGGGAGACGACUAGAGCGUAGGUGGAGGAAAUCACGAGAUGAAUCUGACCGAACACACUUAAGAGCCCACUAUCGGGCCUAUGCUGUGGCAGUGAGGGCGGCAAAAAAGAGAUUCUUUUCCGCUUCCAUUGCCUCCUCACAAUGCCGUCCGGCGGAGCUCUUUCGAGUGGUGCAAGGCCUGGUCCGUCCAGGUCCAAAGGAAGACCUGAUUCCACCCUCAAAGACCCGCUGUGACGACUUUGCCAGGCAUUUCAGGGAGAAAAUCGCUCAGAUUCGUCACGAGCUGGACACCACUAUUGAUUCAGAGGUUUCAAAGGAGACACCAACGCUGCCGUCUGGUCCAGAUUUAUUGGAUGAAUUUCAGUUAUUGCGGCCCGAUGAUGUGGACAAGGUGCUUGGGCGAGUACAUCCAACCACUUGCCUUUUGGACCCUUGCCCGUCUUGGUUAAUAAAUGAUUCCAAGCACGGGAUUGGAACCUGGAUCUUGGAAGUGGUUAACGCUUCUCUGAGGGAGGGUCGGGUGCCGGCCCCUUUGAAGGAGGUGGUAGUCCGACCGGUCCUGAAGAAGGCGUCACUGGAUCCAGAGAUGGCCACUAAUUAUAGACCAGUGGCCAACAUCCCGUUUCUGGGCAAGGUGUUAGAACGAGUGGUGGCGGGACAACUCCAAGCACUCUUGGAUGAAACUGAUUAUCUGGACCCAUUGCAGUCCGGCUUCAGACCCGGGUACGGUACUGAAUCUGCCUUGGUCGCCCUGUAUGAUGACCUGUGCAGGGAGAAGGACA
rnacentral:lncRNA from 1 species